rnacentral:rRNA from 1 species
CCCCACUGCUAUCGAGGUGGGACUUAGCCAGGCCAGUCGAACGACUCGGACUAUGGCGAGAAGUGGCAAACUGCUCAGUAACACGUAGCUAACCUACCCUCAGGACGGAGACAACCCCGGGAAACUGGGGUUAAUCCCCGAUAGGCGUGGAUUCCUGGAAUGGUGUCACGCCGAAACGUUAACACACCAUGUUUGUGUACACGCCUGAGGAUGGGGCUGCGGCCGAUCAGGCAGUUGGUGAGGUAACGGCUCACCAAACCUUCGACCGGUACGGGCCGUGAGAGCGGUAGCCCGGAGAUGGACACUGAGACAAGGGUCCAGGACCUACGGGUCGCAGCCGGUACGAAACCUCCACAAUGCACGAAAGUGCGAUGGGGUUACCUCGAGUGCCGUCUGAAGAAGGCGGCUUUUCCAUUGUGUAAUGAGCCGUGGGAAUAAGGGGGGGGCAAGACUGGUGUCGGCCGCCGCGGUAACACCAGCCCCCCGAGUGGUGGGGAUGUUUAUUUGGCCUAAAACGUCCGUAGCCAGCUAGGUAAAUCUCUCGUUAAAUCCAGCGUCCUAAGCGUUGGGCUGCGAGAGAGACUGCCAAGCUAGAGGGUGGGAGAGGUCAGCGGUAUUUCUGGGGUAGGGGCGAAAUCCAUUGAUCCCAGGAGGACCACCAGUGGCGAAGGCUGCUGACUAGAACACGCCUGACGGUGAGGGACGAAAGCUGGGGUAGCGAAUCGGAUUAGAUACCCGAGUAGUCCCAGCCGUAAACGAUGCAGGCUAGGUGUUGGGUUGGCCACGUGCCGACUCAGUGCCACAGGGAAGCCAUUAAGCCUGCUGCCUGGGGAGUACGGUCGCAAGGCUGAAACUUAAAGGAAUUGGCGGGAGAGCACCACCAGGCGUGAAGCCUGCGGUUU